rnacentral:rRNA from 1 species
AAAGCGUGCGCAGGCGGUUAUGUAAGACAGAUGUGAAAUCCCCGGGCUCAACCUGGGAACUGCAUUUGUGACUGCAUGGCUAGAGUACGGUAGAGGGGGAUGGAAUUCCGCGUGUAGCAGUGAAAUGCGUAGAUAUGCGGAGGAACACCGAUGGCGAAGGCAAUCCCCUCGGACCUGUACUGACGCUCAUGCACGAAAGCGUGGGGAGCAAACAGGAUUAGAUACCCAGU